AAGGCCUGGCGACCAUCAUUGUUUUUUGUCAACUCGCGAUACACGAACACCAAGUGAAACUUACUGUGUGAACCGGUGAUAUGUGCUGUGUGUGAAAUUCAUAAGUUCCCGAAGGACUCUGGAUAUGUGCCCGUAAGUUACCAAAGGAUCCUGGAGGUACAAGAGGCAUACAGGAUUAUGUUAGGCAGAUACGCUAUUCCACCAGAUCCAAUCGAGGAUCCAGGUUACGUCCUAUACCUAACCUCAAUCUAAGAGUAAAGCCGGAAAUGGAAUUUAUUUGAGCAGACCUGGAAGGAUGUUUUACAACUGGUAGCCACUCCGUGGGAUUUACGCGAAUCAAUGCGGAAGACAAAAUGGCCGACCGGAUCGUCGCAAUAAACUGGCCAAUUCUCAAGUGCUUCCGGUCGGCAAAGUUUUCGACGUCGGAGGAGCAAAUGUCCUUCCGAACGAGUGGACCAGUAGUACCCGCUACGGGCGAACGAGAGCAAUCUCUUUGAAGUCGAAACGAUGCAACAAAAAAUGGAGGACGGUCUAUAUUUAUAAGUAUGUGACUCAUUAGCGUGAAGAAUUUCUACGCGGCAGACAGUUUCCAACGCGACACAGCGAUACGAGUGAGUUUUCAAUGCAGCACUAUCGCAAUGACGCAAAAUAGUUGGAAGUUAAUUAUUUUCUUUAAAGAAAAAUUCGAUUUCAUUAUUUUUAUUCAGUCACCAUGAAUUGUCAGAAUUGUCAGAAAUUUUAAUUGGCAGAUUUUAAUCGACCGAAUGCCAUAAAUUCAAUAAUAAACGAAUGUUUGUACACACAAAAGUACACGCGUAUGCAAACUACCCUUGUUGCGAUAUAAAAAAAAAUUUAAUAAUUUUAAUUCAGCAUCCAACAAUUCGAAUUGAAUUUUACAAAAUUUUUCAUAUCGAUAAUAAAUCAUUCAGUCCUUACGUCACGCAGCUAUGUAAAAAAUAAUUAAAUUUUCAAUAUCCGUCAAAAGUCAAAAUUUCAGUGAAAAGGUCCCAGUAAAGUUUCACAACGUCAAAGGAUACGCGUAAACUGUACAAGAGGCUGAAAAUCCUAGGGGGUUGGGGCACAGAGAAUAUUCCGCGAGUUUUAUCUCGUUCGUUCCGUACGAGAAAGACGCUCUUCCGGUAGAGAAAAUAGAGCGACGCUGGCGCCAUCUGCCCCACAGGCAAAACCCAAGGAUGCCAAAGGCUGAUAAGAACGCGACUGUCCCGGCUAAUUGCACUUCGGAAAACUGCAAGUUACUCGAUUCGAUUUGCUGGCGGAUUACGGAAUAUCUACCCAGGGGUAGUUGCGGCAUCAUAAAGGGGGUGGCUUUCCACAACGAGGCAUAUAGGUACAGUGACUCUUCGCCGAGCAAAAAGAAACGGAGCCUUUAAAGGCUUAGAGCCCACGGAUAACAAAGAGCAACGCUUAUCCGACAAAAAUGCUGUUUACCCAGGGACGUACCCUCACGCCAAGUAACCCUCAACUUAUGGUAUGACGCAAGGGGGUGCCAAAAAAUUUGAAAAAAAUUACUGGUUUAAUAAAAAUCCUCAUAGAUCCUAAAAUUGUU